UAAUACGUAGGUGGCAAGCGUUGUCCGGAUUUACUGGGCGUAAAGAGUAUGUAGGCGGAUGUUUAAGUAGAAAGUGAAAGGUUGGAGCUUAACUCCAACACUGCUUCCUAUACUGGAUAUCUUGAGUGCCGGAGAGGAAAGCGGAACGACACGUGUAGCGGUGAAAUGCGUUGAUAUGUGUCGGAACACCAAUGGCGAAGGCAGCUUUCUGGACGGAGCCGCAAGGCUUAAAACUGACGCUGAGAUACGAAAGCCGAGGGAGCGAACAGGAUUAGAUACCCUGGUAGUCUCGGCCCUAAACGAUGUUCACUAGGUGUCGGGGGGUAACCUCCGGUGCCGCAGCUAACGCAUUAAGUGAACCGCCUGGGGACUACGGCCGCAAGGUUG
rnacentral:rRNA from 1 species